UACAGAGGUCUCAACCGUUGUUCGGAUUUAUUGGGCGUAAAGAGCGUGUAGGCGGCCGUACAGGUCAGCUGUGAAAACUCGAGGCUCAACCUCGAGACGUCGGUUGAAACCGUACGGCUAGAGUCCGGAAGAGGAGAGUGGAAUUCCCGGUGUAGCGGUGAAAUGCGCAGAUAUCGGGAAGAACACCCGUGGCGAAGGCGGCUCUCUGGGACGGUACUGACGCUGAGACGCGAAAGCGUGGGGAGCGAACAGG
rnacentral:rRNA from 1 species